rnacentral:lncRNA from 1 species
AAAUUCAGCUUCCUACUUCCCUCUUGAAUUUCGCGGGAGGAGCCUUUGGACCGAGGAACGGGUCUCCGGGUCUCCGCGGGGUGUUAAUGUCACCUCUGCACCACUGCCCUUGGUGGGAACUUUGAAGAUCUAUAUACUGGUUUGGUUUUGUUUUGUUUUCAGGAAUCAGAAUCUUGGACCAGAAAUUCAACUCGGCGUUGAUGCU